rnacentral:misc_RNA from 1 species
GAAAUGCGAUAAGUAAUGUGAAUUGCAGAAUUCAGUGAAUCAUCGAAUCUUUGAACGCACAUUGCGCCCCCUGGUAUUCCGGGGGGCAUACCUGUUCGAGCGUCAUUUCACCACUCAAGCCUCGCUUGGUAUUGGGCAACGCGGUCCGCCGCGUGCCUCAAAUCGACCGGCUGGGUCUUCUGUCCCCUAAGCGUUGUGGAAACUAUUCGCUAAAGGGUGUUCGGGAGGCUACGCCGUAAAACAACCCCAUUUCUAAGGUUGACCUCGGAUCAGGUAGGGAUACCCGCUGAACUUAAGC